CGACCUUCUCAAUCUAAGCCCAGCGUCUUCUCAACCUCCACCACUUGUAAGGAGCGCGGACUUCAACUCCCAGAAUUCCCCGGCCCGCCCCGUUCUAGAACCCGGAUGAGGAGUUUUGUCUCCUCCUCCUCCUCCUCCUCCUCUGGCCCCCAGGGGGCGGGGAAAGAAUUCUCGGCGCGUGACGUCAUCACCAUGACAACCUGCCAACUGUAAGGCAACUGCCUCGCCCGCCAGUUGCAAUUGGAGCAAAGCCCCGCGAAGGGUUGGAGGGCAGCAGAGACCACGCCCCCCCAAAAUAAUAAUCAUAAUCAUAAUAAUAAUAAUCCAUAGUCUUUGCAUUGUGUUUUCUUUGCUCCUGAGAGCUGGUUGCGUGCUGCGAGGCCCUCCAUGGAAGCGCCUUGGGUGGAGGAGGUGGCGGCGUCUUUAGUGCGAGAGUUCCUGAGCAGAAAGGGCUUAAAGAAGACAAGUACCAUGAUGGACAAAGAAUUUCCCCGCACCGCCCUCAGCAUCAACAACAGGAACGAGCUCCGAAAUGUUUUGCACCUCCAGUCUUUGUACAAACAAAACAAGCCAUCAAUCAUCGUUAUAGAAUGACGGAAGGCAUUUUGAAGGAAAGAAUGAGAAAUGCUAUGAAGCGUCUCCAAGAACAGGAAGAACUAUCAAGACUUCGCAAAGUAACAACUUCAAUGGCAGUUGUUGGUUUUUGGUCAACUAAACAUCAGCCAUGAAAAUGGUCCGGGUGAUGAAGACUUCAAGCUGACCAAUCACUGUAAGGCUGAUGCAACUCUUCAUCUGAUAGAAUAAGAACGAAUCGGCGUUGGUUUGAGCAGUUUAAGACUGAUGGGGUGGUCCACACAAUUUUUUAAGAGGUUAUAAAUUUUAGCCAGGAGAGGGCGUGUUCUUUCCUUGGAGUCAUUCGUUCAGUCCACUUGUUAGAGGAAUAAAGGUUUCCACUGUCCCGUCUUCAGAUUCUCAGCCAAGUUUGCCAUAGAGAGUGUUUCGUCAAAAUGACUGAACAGCUUUUGAUAAAAAGACAUUUGAUGGAACAACGAAAACUUAUAGAGAGUCUUCAAAAUAAAAUAAAAUUCCAGCAAGAAGAGCUAAAGAAGGCGAAAGAACAGGAUUUUAAGAAAUCAAUGAUAAUCGCUAGAAAAACAAGAUCAAUUUCAAAUUUGAUGUCGGAGAGAGAAAAGUUCCUCCAUGAGAAACAGGAGCUUGUACGACUCAGUCUCCAGUUGGAAGGAGACAAAGAAGUAUUUAGGGAACAGUUUGAAGAAGAACAGAGAAGAAAAAAAACCAUCGGAGCCACCAUCCUUGCUGGAUUGUUCCUGGUUACUCUCUAUGUAUCUUUUGGGCUGUACUGGGUGUUAAAUGAUUGAGGCCUCAGGCCUUAACAAUUUUCCACGACGAGGAAGAAAAAGCUGUCGUUAUUAGAGCCAUCUCACCAUUGAUGCAACCUCGUCGGCUAACGAAACAUCCGGAAAAGGAACCAGGUCCAGAGAACACCAAAGGACCCUAUGGCUCAAUCCUGACCCUGAGAUUGUCUUAUAUUUGAUAUUCUCCUGAAAAUACAUUUUUUUUUCUUUUUUAAAAAAGAGGAAUUUAUAUAUUAUUUCCUAUGUGGCAAGUUAAUGCUGCUCUUCCAUUUUUUUCAACAAUUGUUGAAAACUAUAUAAUAAUAUAUAUUGAUUUAAUUUGAAUUUUUGGUCUAAAGCUAGAAGUGAAUACUGCCAUUGGUAUAAUGUCUCUCCCAUCUACUGCUUCUAGUAUUAC